rnacentral:rRNA from 1 species
CCCCAGCGCCACAAGUGGUUAUCACGAUUAUUGGGCCUAAAGCGUUCGUAGCUGGUUUGGUAAAUCUCUUGUGAAAUUGUUCGGCUUAACCGGACAGCGUGCAGGGGACACUGCCAAACUCGAGACCGGGAGGCGUAUGAAGUAUUCCAUGGGGACUGGUAAAAUGGGAUAAUCCAUGGAAGACUACCGAUGGCGAAGGCAUCAUACGAGAACGGAUCUGACAGUGAGGAACGAAAGCCAGGGGAGCGAACCGG